rnacentral:rRNA from 1 species
AUUGAACGCUGGCGGCAGGCCUAACACAUGCAAGUCGAACGGUAACAGGAAGAAGCUUGCUUCUUUGCUGACGAGUGGCGGACGGGUGAGUAAUGUCUGGGAAACUGCCUGAUGGAGGGGGAUAACUACUGGAAACGGUAGCUAAUACCGCAUAACGUCGCAAGACCAAAGAGGGGGACCUUCGGGCCUCUUGCCAUCGGAUGUGCCCAGAUGGGAUUAGCUAGUAGGUGGGGUAACGGCUCACCUAGGCGACGAUCCCUAGCUGGUCUGAGAGGAUGACCAGCCACACUGGAACUGAGACACGGUCCAGACUCCUACGGGAGGCAGCAGUGGGGAAUAUUGCACAAUGGGCGCAAGCCUGAUGCAGCAAUGCCGCGUGUAUGAAGAAGGCCUUCGGGUUGUAAAGUACUUUCAGCGGGGAGGAAGGGAGUAAAGUUAAUACCUUUGCUCAUUGACGUUACCCGCAGAAGAAGCACCGGCUAACUCCGUG